CACGUAGGGUGCGAGCGUUGUCCGGAAUUAUUGGGCGUAAAGAGCUCGUAGGCGGUGUGUCGCGUCGGCCGUGAAAACCUGGGGCUCAACUCCGGGCUUGCAUUCGAUACGGGCAGGCUAGAGUUCGGUAGGGGAGUCUGGAAUUCCUGGUGUAGCGGUGAAAUGCGCAGAUAUCAGGAGGAACACCGGUGGCGAAGGCGGGACUCUGGGCCGAUACUGACGCUGAGGAGCGAAAGCGUGGGGAGCGAACAGG
rnacentral:rRNA from 1 species